GUUCCGGCCACGUGGGCACAGGGGUGCGCGAGAGGGACUGUCCUGGUGUGCGUCCGCGGCGGGUGGGCGUCCCUGAAAUGCUGUGUGCGCGCGCGUCUGCCCUCUCCAGGCUGCUGGAUUCUACGCUGCCCAACUUCACUUGUUCAUCCAUUCAUUCAAGUCUCAUGGACAGUGCCAAGUGCGUGCCAGACUUUCGAGUGGGGAGCGGGCCUCCUCAGCCAGAAUGGCGGAAGUGAAAAAGACAUACCGUGUAGAUGAGCAAUUCCAGUCCCAAGCUGUCAACGCCCAACCGAAGAAAAACGUGUGCUGUCUAGUUUUUUUGUCUGUUCGACACAAACUAGAGUCAUUUGGGAUGAGGGAACCUUGAUUGAGAAAAUGCCUCUUUUAUGCUGCCCUGGAGUUCCUUCCUCCAGGUUCCUGCUUUGAGUUCCUGCCCUGACUUCCC